rfam:Triticum aestivum genome assembly, contig: Triticum_aestivum_CS42_TGACv1_scaffold_288552_4AL
GACAUACUUUUUCCAUCCGAAAAUAUUUGUCGGAGAAAUAGAUGUAUCUAGACAUAUUUUAGUUCUAGAUAUACCCAUUUUUGUUCAUUUCUAUGAUAAGUAUUUUCGAACGGAGGGAGUAUGUG